rnacentral:lncRNA from 1 species
AAUAAAUCCAUUUGAUAAGUAUUUAUGGAGACUCAUUUGGUGAUCUCAGAAGAACUAGCAGUAAAGGCAUAGAGCUUCUGCCUACAGGGAGGUGUUGUAGCACUAAAAGGUAGGAUUCAGACUGGAAAAAUGAGGCACCCUGUGAUUUUCCUUGGGGUGUGUGUAUUACCUUCAUGUACGUGCUUCAUUUGCAUUGUAUUUGCACUUCAGGCUUAUUGAGGCAACAGUGUUGCAAUACCCAUCUCUUUUGCCCCCUUUGCCUUUGGGUCUUAACCUUGUCUAUUGGCACAUUGCUCUUUAUACCAUAGUUACUGAAUAAAACCAGCCCAAUUCAGCAAAUAUUUACCAAGUUGUUCCGGGUACUGUGCUGGAGAAGGGACAGUUACAUUUGCUGAGCAGAAUUUACUUUAAAAUGGCUUUGGAGCACAAAAGGGGACCAGCAUCGUGGGGUAGUGAUAUGCUGCUGCUGAAAAUGCCUCUGAUCUAUUCAGGACAAAAAUAGGACACUGAAGAGGAUUCAGCUGUGAGCCUGAAACAAACAAACAAACAAACAAACAAACAAACAAAUGGAUUCUUUUUUGAGUACUUUGUUUAUACAUCGUGGAGAAACCAUUUCUUUACUAUAGGCACACAGUUGGGAUGGUCUUUGAAAUAGUUACUUCCUGUUCUGUGGCUCCAGCGCAAGUCCUUCUGCCUUCUCAGGCCCAGGAGGCUCUCUGAGACCUGGCAGUGUGCUCCUGCUCAGUUUCCCAUCAUGCAUCCCUCUCUGCCUCCCGCUUCUACUCCACUGUGAAAGUACACGCCCAGCUGUUCCUUAGCUAUGCAAACAGAUCUUGAGGUCCAGCAUCCUUCUACUCUCUCACCUUGUUUCACAGGAUUUCGGCUCACCUGGUAAGGCUUCCAAUACCCAUUUUGCGCAGGAGGUUCCUCUGUAAAUGCCAUUGGUGACCUUCCAUCCUUGUUCUUCCACACAGCGUAGUCAAUUAUUGAGUUGCCUUGUGGACUCAAAGCCCUUCAUCCUGAAGUUCGGUUGUGACGCUGCUAUUGCUCACCAACCGCACUUCUAUAACUCUGGAGAGUGCCUAUUUCUGUGAACCUUUUCCUGAUCAUCGUGACUCACCUAUAAUGCCUCAGUAACUCUUCUUUCUACUAGACUACUUCAAGUCACUUGUUCUCUGCACCACGCAGCUAACAGUGAUAAAUCACAAUAAUGGUGGCUUUGUAGUGUGUAGACCAGGAUUGGGGGUGGGGAGGGAGAACUCUAUUUAGGUUAUUACAUCCAAUCUCAUAACAAGUUUUGGAAGUGGGUAUUUUUCCCACUUAGAAAAAAGAACCCAUUGUAUAAGGUCACAAGGCUGGGACAUGUCAGACUUAGAAUUCAAAGCCUCAUCUGGGGCUGCUUAAUUCCUAAACCCACCUGUUCUUCCCCAUUUUGCAUUACUCAUCUCUUCAAAGGUAAGAAGUAAUACAGGAAUUUAUCCUAGUGGUUAUUAAUAGGGACUUUUGAUCUAGAAUGCAUGAGUUCAAACCCUUACUUUGUCAUUUGCAGCCUUAGACAAGCUAACUACUUCCAAACCCAUGACUGGGUCAUUUAUCUGUAAACCAAACUUGUUAACAAGAUUUGGUGUGCCAGUGUAUGUUGAGAACUUGAGACUGUGUUUGGCAUACAAAAUGGUCAUGGCAUCAUCAUUAUUAUUAUCAUACAGGUUAAUUUGUAAGCCACUCUUCAAAUAUUUGCUUAGUGCCUGCUAUAUGCCAAAUGCUGUUCUUGGUGCUAGAGGCAACAGCAGUGGCUAAGAGAGUGUUUGUCCUUAUGGGGCUUUUUGUUUUAUGGUAAGGCAAACUCAGAAUAAGAAAAUAGGUUUAUAUUAGUAUCUCUUACUAUAUAUCAUGUCAUAAAAAUAGGAAAUAUAUCUUAUAAUGAAAUGUUAUUUUUAUACUAGGAAAUAAUUGGCAUACAGAGUAUGUUGUGACUACUGUAGUUCAGCCACUGAAGUGAUCCUACCUGGUAAGCUAGAGUCAACAGUGCCUGUUCUAAAAGACAUAGCUUCAUAUGGCCAAUUUAUGGUUGGGGUAGGGGCCGGCUGUCCUAGGGGCAAGGUGCCAUCUCUAGACUGUAAAAGGAGUAAACAACUAGGUUAAGAUGUCUGGGUCUCAGCAAAACAUGACACAGAGAACUCAUAAAUAGGCCAACUCAUAAAUAUUCCCAGCCAAUUGGGAAUAGGUUCCUUUUAUUGUCUUUUAUUUGGCAGUGAAACUAGAUACAUGUCCCAAGAAAGUCAUAGUGUUUUAUCUAUUUAUUCAUCUAGCUAAGGACAGCCUCAAUCACAUUAUCUUGUCAAGAAAGUCUAUGAUAUCUCCACAUGGAUCCUGUAAUAGGUUGGUGUGGCAUUCUAUAUAGCAUUGAGUCAUUGCUAGAAGAGUAGCCACUGAGGAAAAGCAUCCCCUUUCAAGUCCUAGAAAUAAGGCUCUUAUUCCUUACCCACCUGGUGCACUGGGCUCUUGUCAAAGUCACUAGCUUGUCUGAGCCUUGAUUUCCUUAUGUCUAUAAGGUGAGACAUAGUGCACCAGAGGUUCAUCUAGAUGACUGCUUACUAAUUAAAUUAGCAUUUGUAUAAACCCUGAUUCAGAGUCUGGUGUGCAGUAAGCAGUUAAUAGAGGAGGAUUUUCAAAACUCGCUUAGUCUCCCCCUGGGUGUGCAUUUUAGGUAUUGGUCAUUUACUUCCAGACUCACAGGUAGAGAUUUAAACUGAAAUAUAAGAGCUACAUCCCAGCCCACAGCUUUCAAAGAACAGAGCAGAUAACCUAGAACCAGGGCUACAUCAUCUCUGAAAGGAUUGUGGAUGCUAAAGGAAAAUAAGAUUGGAUUUACUUCCAAUCAGCAUGAUCGAGACUGAACCCACCAGUCUCUACCACAGAGCUUCGUUGAUUCCAUCUUCCUGGGGUCAUGAACCCUUAGCCGCAUACCACAGAGCUGCAUUGACUCCAUCUUCCUGGGGUCAUGAACCCUUAGCCACCGUUGUGAAAGCUGAAUGAGGAAAAGUAGGUGACAGAAGGGCUCUGGACUCUGAAAUGUUCUAAGCAUUUGGAGUUCAGUUCUUAUAGUAAAUUAAAUAUUUCCUUUUGAGUGGGGAGGGAGUCUGGUGAGAAGGGACAGUUUUAUUUUUAUAGGUCAAAAGUACUCAUGGAAAGCUCCUUGUUACUAGAAUUACAGAUAAAUCUAUUUGACAUUCCAGUGUGAACAAGUAGAGAACUUUUAUUUUAAAAUACAAACCUAAGCCUUGCUAACUUUUAAAUCACCUUGCCGUUGUGUACACUAUUCCAUAAAAUUACAUUAAGUUUCCUGAGAGGGAGGAAGGUACAGUUUAUUCUCAUCCUACACCCAUCAUUUAUCAAUAUGUAGACUUAAAACUACUUU